CUGGUGUCUCACAUAUGUCCAGAACAUUAAAGGUGAGUUCAUGAUUUUAACUGCAGUUAUCUAUUGGAAGUCAG